rnacentral:rRNA from 1 species
UACGAAGGGGGCUAGCGUUGUUCGGAAUUACUGGGCGUAAAGCGCACGUAGGCGGUGUUCCAUGUCAGAGGUGAAAGCCUGGGCUCAACCCCAGAAUUGCCUUUGAAACGGGAACGCUUGAGUCCGAGAGAGGAUGGCGGAAUUCCUAGUGUAGAGGUGAAAUUCGUAGAUAUUAGGAAGAACACCGGUGGCGAAGGCGGCCAUCUGGCUCGGUACUGACGCUCAGGUGCGAAAGCGUGGGGAGCAAACAGG